GCCUCCGUUAGGUUAGUGGUUGGUUUUCUAGUCUGGUAGACCGGAGGUGGUGGGUUCGAUUCCCACCUGAGGCA
rnacentral:tRNA from 1 species